rnacentral:rRNA from 1 species
GGUUGAUCCUGCCAGUAGUCAUAUGCUUGUCUCAAAGAUUAAGCCAUGCAUGUCUAAGUAUAAGCAUUAUACUGUGAAACUGCGAAUGGCUCAUUAAAUCAGUUAUCGUUUAUUUGAUAGUACCUUACUACUUGGAUAACCGUGGUAAUUCUAGAGCUAAUACAUGCGUAAAAUCCCGACCUCUGGAAGGGAUGUAUUUAUUAGAUAAAAAAUCAAUGCUUCGGCUUCUUGAUGAUUCAUAAUAACUUUUCGAACCGCAUGGCUUUAAGCCGGCGGUGGUUCAUUCAAAUUU